CUAUUUUUUUGCUAGCACCACAGACCUUCAAGAUUCAUAAACUAUGAAUGCAAACAACAGAUCAUUAAAAGUAUACUUUGUGCUAGUGAUUUCUUCUCAUCACUUCAACAGAGAAAAAGAACAUUCUAGAAUCCUAACAAUGGUGACAAGGGGUGUGGACACAGCGUUGUUAGGAGGGGGAGACACCAGAGCACCAACUUCUCUCACUUAAACCUUAUGACAACCUUAAGAAGUAGGCAGCAUGAUCCCCUUCUUGGAAAUGCAGAAAGAGAGAAUGGGGGAGAUUGAGAGGCUUGCAGAAUGUGACAUCAUUAGGGAGAACAGUGGUUGAGGUCCAGCAGCUCCUGCAGAUGGGUGGUGGUGGAAGGAGGAGAGAAUGGGCCACAGGCAGGCCAAGGGCAAGCUUAGCAGCACUCAACAUCCUCCAUGAACUCAACAGAAGUCAAGAAUGCAGGCAGCUCAUGAUGAAGACCUGCAGCGGCCCAGGUUUACCAAGCUCAUUCACAAUUGCAGUUGGAGAAUUCGUCUUUGGUCAUUUUCUACUUUGGAAAUACGGAAAAAAACAGUUCACAUGCUUUAAAAAAGUCAUCCAAGCAGAAAAUUGGGAAGAGCAGCAGCUGUGAGAAGAGAUGUGUGCAGGGGUUACAAAUGAUUUCUCAUUAACUCCAGACGCUCUUGUUCCUGGUCACCACAGCCCCAUCUGAGAGGCAGAUGUGACAGCGCUGGCAGUGACAAUGACAG
rnacentral:lncRNA from 1 species